rnacentral:rRNA from 1 species
UGGCUGCAACUGUUUAUUAAAAACACAGCACUGUGCAAACACGAAAGUGGACGUAUACGGUGUGACGCCUGCCCGGUGCCGGAAGGUUAAUUGAUGGGGUCAGCGCAAGCGAAGCUCCUGAUCGAAGCCCCGGUAAACGGCGGCCGUAACUAUAACGGUCCUAAGGUAGCGAAAUUCCUUGUCGGGUAAGUUCCGACCUGCACGAAUGGCGUAAUGAUGGCCAGGCUGUCUCCACCCGAGACUCAGUGAAAUUGAACUCGCUGUGAAGAUGCAGUGUACCCGCGGCAAGACGGAAAGACCCCGUGAACCUUUACUAUAGCUUGACACUGAACAUUGAGCCUUGAUGUGUAGGAUAGGUGGGAGGCUUUGAAGUGUGGACGCCAGUCUGCAUGGAGCCGACCUUGAAAUACCACCCUUUAAUGUUUGAUGUUCUAACGUGGACCCGUGAUCCGGGUUGCGGACAGUGUCUGGUGGGUAGUUUGACUGGGGCGGUCUCCUCCUAAAGAGUAACGGAGGAGCACGAAGGUUGGCUAAUCCUGGUCGGACAUCAGGAGGUUAGUGCAAUGGCAUAAGCCAGCUUGACUGCGAGCGUGACGGCGCGAGCAGGUGCGAAAGCAGGUCAUAGUGAUCCGGUGGUUCUGAAUGGAAGGGCCAUCGCUCAACGGAUAAAAGGUACUCCGGGGAUAACAGGCUGAUACCGCCCAAGAGUUCAUAUCGACGGCGGUGUUUGGCACCUCGAUGUCGGCUCAUCACAUCCUGGGGCUGAAGUAGGUCCCAAGGGUAUGGCUGUUCGCCAUUUAAAGUGGUACGCGAGCUGGGUUUAGAACGUCGUGAGACAGUUCGGUCCCUAUCUGCCGUGGGCGCUGGAGAACUGAGGGGGGCUGCUCCUAGUACGAGAGGACCGGAGUGGACGCAUCACUGGUGUUCGGGUUGUCAUGCCAAUGGCACUGCCCGGUAGCUAAAUGCGGAAGAGAUAAGUGCUGAAAGCAUCUAAGCACGAAACUUGCCCCGAGAUGAGUUCUCCCUGAGACUUUAGGUCUCCUGAAGGAACGUUGAAGACGACGACGUUGAUAGGCCGGGUGUGUAAGCGCAGCGAUGCGUUGAGCUAACCGGUACUAAUGAACCGUGAGGCUUAACCUU